rnacentral:rRNA from 1 species
CCUACGGGGGGCAGCAGUGAGGAAUAUUGGUCAAUGGACGAGAGUCUGAACCAGCCAAGUAGCGUGAAGGAUGACUGCCCUAUGGGUUGUAAACUUCUUUUAUAUGGGAAUAAAAUGUUCCACGUGUGGGAUUUUGUAUGUACCAUAUGAAUAAGGAUCGGCUAACUCCGUGCCAGCAGCCGCGGUAAUACGGAGGAUCCGAGCUUUAUCCGGAUUUAUUGGGUUUAAAGGGAGCGUAGGUGGAUUGUUAAGUCAGUUGUGAAAGUUUGCGGCUCAACCGUAAAAUUGCAGUUGAAACUGGCAGUCUUGAGUACAGUAGAGGUGGGCGGAAUUCGUGGUGUAGCGGUGAAAUGCUUAGAUAUCACGAAGAACUCCGAUUGCGAAGGCAGUUCACUGGACUGCAACUGACACUGAGGCUCGAAAGUGUGUGUAUCAAACAGGAUUAGAUACCCUGGUAGUC